GGACCCAGGCAAAGGCCUCUGGUCCGGCCCUUCCCAUCCAGCAGCCUGGACAGACUGAACAAGAGCUCCUGGUAGGGAGGGACUCAGUGCCUGUUCCUGAGCAUAGAGAGCACACGAUGAUGCUGAAAUGCUGAAUAGUCGUUCGCGGAAUAAAGGAGCUCAACGUAGGAAUAAACCUUCCUCUUCCCACCGGCCUGAAUUGGGAGCUGAGUAGCAACACUGCUGAAGGAGAGCGGGGCUGCCCGGGAGAAGGCACUUCAGGAAGAGCAGCCAAGUGUCCUCUGUCCCCCACCCCAUCCCUGUAGUCCACCGGAGGGCCGAGACACUGCGGGAGUGGGUGGGAGAGGACGGCCUGUUCUUUCCCAUCUCCGUUCCUCCGCGACUGGGAUCGCCUGCGUUUCUCCAGGAGUAGAGCAUUCGCCCGCAGUUCCCCCUCCCCCUGGCUUUAAGCCCCACUCGGGUACACUUUUGGGGAGAGGGUUACCAGU